CAGAGGUGCAAGCGUUAAUCGGAAUUACUGGCGUAAGCGAGCGUAGGUGGCUUGAUAAGUCAGAUGUGAAUCCCGGGCUUAACCUGGGAACUGCAUCUGAACUGUUAGGCUAGAGUAGGUGAGAGGAAGUAGAAUUUCAGGUGUAGCGGUGAAAUGCGUAGAGAUCUGAAGGAUACCGAUGGCGAAGGCAGCUUCCUGGCAUCAUACUGACACUGAGGCUCGAAAGCGUGGUAGCAAACAGGAUU
rnacentral:rRNA from 1 species